rnacentral:rRNA from 1 species
CAUUUAUUAAAAUUCAUUAUGGUUCCUUAGAUCGUUUCUUCCUACUUGGAUAACUGUGGCAAUUCUAGAGCUAAUACAUGCAGUGAGCCUGAAGCCCUUUGGGCGACGGGUGCUUUUAUUAGACCAAGAUCGAUCGGGUUUCGGCCCGUAUUGUGUGGUGACUCUGGAUAACUUUGUGCUGAUCGCAUGGCCACGAGCCGGCGACGUUUCUUUCAAGUGUCUGCCUUAUCAACUUUCGAUGGUAGGUUACUUGCUUACCAUGGUUGUUACGGGUAACGGAGAAUCAGGGUUCGAUUCCGGAGAGGGAGCCUGAGAAACGGCUACCACAUCCAAGGAAGGCAGCAGGCGCGCAAAUUACCCACUCCCGGCACGGGGAGGUAGUGACGAAAAAUAACAAUACGGGACUCUUUUGAGGCCCCGUAAUUGAAAUGAGUACACUCUAAAUCCUUUAACGAGGAUCAAUUGGAGGGCAAGUCUGGUGCCAGCAGCCGCGGUAAUUCCAGCUCCAAUAGCGUAUACUAAAGCUGCUGCGGUUAAAAAGCUCGUAGUUGGAUCUCAGUUCCAGACGAGUAGUGCAUCUACCCGAUGCGACGGCUCGGACUGAACAUCAUGCCGGUCCUUUCUUGGUGCACUUCAUUGUGUGCCUCGAGAAGGCCGGUGCUUUUACUUUGAAAAAAUUAGAGUGCUCAACGCAGGCGAGUCGCCUGAAUAAACUUGCAUGGAAUAAUAGAACAAGACCUCGUUUCUGUUCUGUUGGUUUUGGAAUACGAGUAA